rnacentral:rRNA from 1 species
CCUUGCCUACGGGGGGCAGCAGUGGGGAAUAUUGCACAAUGGGGGAAACCCCGAUGCAGCGACGCCGCGUGAGCGAUGAAGUAUUUCGGUAUGUAAAGCUCUAUCAGCAGGGAAGAAAAUGACGGUACCUGACUAAGAAGCCCCGGCUAACUACGUGCCAGCAGCCGCGGUAAUACGUAGGGGGCAAGCGUUAUCCGGAUUUAUUGGGUGUAAAGGGUGCGUAGACGGGAAAUUAAGUUAGUUGUGAAAUCCCUCGGCUCAACUGAGGAACUGCAACUAAAACUGGUUUUCUUGAGUGUUGGAGG